AGUGAACGCUGGCGGCAGGCCUAACACAUGCAAGUCGAACGGCAGCACAAGAGAGCUUGCUCUCUGGGUGGCGAGUGGCGGACGGGUGAGGAAUGCAUCGGAAUCUGCCCAUUUGUGGGGGAUAACCUCGGGAAACCGGGACUAAUACCGCAUACGACCUACGGGUGAAAGCAGGGGAUCUUCGGACCUUGCGCCGAUGGAUGAGCCGAUGCCGGAUUAGCUAGUUGGAGGGGUAAAGGCCCACCAAGGCGACGAUCCGUAGCUGGUCUGAGAGGAUGAUCAGCCACACUGGGACUGAGACACGGCCCAGACUCCUACGGGAGGCAGCAGUGGGGAAUAUUGGACAAAGGGCGCAAGCCUGAUCCAGCCAUGCCGCGUGUGUGAAGAAGGCCUUCGGGUUGUAAAGCACUUUUGUUGGGAAAGAAAAGCAGACGGUUAAUACCCGGUUGUCAUGACGGUACCCAAAGAAUAAGCACCGGCUAACUUCGUG
rnacentral:rRNA from 1 species